AUUGAACGCUGGCGGCAUGCCUAACACAUGCAAGUCGAACGCGUGGCGGACGGGUGAGUAAUGUCUGGGAAACUGCCUGAUGGAGGGGGAUAACUACUGGAAACGGUAGCUAAUACCGCAUACCAUCGGAUGUGCCCAUAUGGGAUUAGCUAGUAGGUGGGGUAAAGGCUCACCUAGGCGACGAUGCCUAGCUGGUCUGAGAGGAUGACCGGCCACACUGGGACUGAGACACGGUCCAGACUGCGACGGGAGGCAGCAGUGGGGAAUAUUGCACAAUGGGCGCAAGCCUGAUGCAGCCAUGCCGCGUGUAUGAAGAAGGCCUUCGGGUUGUAAAGUACUUUAAGCGGGGAGGCGUUACCCGCAGAAGAAGCACCGGCUAACUCCGUGCCAGCAGCCGCGGUAAUUC
rnacentral:rRNA from 1 species